UACGGAGGGGGGCUAGCGUUGUUCGGAAUUACUGGGCGUAAAGCGCGCGUAGGCGGACCUGCAAGUCGGGGGGUGAAAGCCCGAGGCUCAACCUCGGAACUGCCCUUCGAUACUGCGGGUCUCGAGUCCGGGAGAGGUGAGUGGAAUUCCUAGUGUAGAGGUGAAAUUCGUAGAUAUUUAGGAAGAAACACCAGUGGCGAAGGCGGCUCAGCUGGCCCGGUACUGACGCUGAGGCGCGAAAGGCGUGGGGGAGCAAACAGG
rnacentral:rRNA from 1 species